rnacentral:rRNA from 1 species
ACACACGGAUAACAUACCGAAAGGUAUGCUAAUACGGGAUAAUAUAUUUGAGAGGCAUCUCUUAAAUAUCAAAGGUGAGCCAGUACAGGAUGGACCCGCGUCUGAUUAGCUAGUUGGUAAGGUAACGGCUUACCAAGGCAACGAUCAGUAGCCGACCUGAGAGGGUGAUCGGCCACAUUGGAACUGAGACACGGUCCAAACUCCUACGGGAGGCAGCAGUGGGGAAUAUUGCACAAUGGGCGAAAGCCUGACGCAGCAACGCCGCGUGAGUGAUGAAGGCCUUCGGGUCGUAAAACUCUGUCCUCAAGGAAGAUAAUGACGGUACUUGAGGAGGAAGCCCCGGCUAACUACGUGCCAGCAGCCGCGGUAAUACGUAGGGGGCUAGCGUUAUCCGGAUUUACUGGGCGUAAAGGGUGCGUAGGCGGUCUUUCAAGUCAGGAGUGAAAGGCUACGGCUCAACCGUAGUAAGCUCUUGAAACUGGGAGACUUGAGUGCAGGAGAGGAGAGUGGAAUUCCUAGUGUAGCGGUGAAAUGCGUAGAUAUUAGGAGGAACACCAGUUGCGAAGGCGGCUCUCUGGACUGUAACUGACGCUGAGGCACGAAAGCGUGGGGAGCAAACAGGAUUAGAUACCCUGGUAGUCCACGCUGUAAACGAUGAGUACUAGGUGUCGGGGGUUACCCCCUUCGGUGCCGCAGCUA